AAAUGCGAUAAGUAGUGUGAAUUGCAGAAUUUAGCGAAUCAUCGAAUCUUUGAACGCACAUUGCGCCCUCUGGCAUUCCGGGGGGCAUGCCUGUCCGAGCGUCAUUACGCACCCUCAAGCCCGGCUUGUGUGAUGGGCCCCGGCGUCUCGUUCGCGAGACGGGCCCGAAAGGCAGCGGCGGCGUCGACCCGAUGAGCCCGAGCGUAUGGGGACUUCUGUCACACGUUCGCGGUGCGGACCGGCGCCUGCUUGACUUUUCUGAUUAUCCAGGUUGACCUCGGAUCAGGUAGGGAUACCCGCUGAACUUAAGC
rnacentral:misc_RNA from 1 species